CAUUUGAAUAAGUUAAAAUAAUCUUAAGGAAAUUUCUAGGCACAAUCCAUCUAUGUUUGGUCUAAACAAACAAAUGGUCAUGAUUACUGAGUCAUGGGCUGCACUUGUAUAGGCUGUAUGACCUUGGGUCAAGAAACGAAAUUUCCAACUCAAGGAAUUCAAAGAAACGUGGCAGUAUUAAGCAUGGAAAUAAGCGCAUGUGCCAAGAAAAGUAGCCAGCGUUCCUCUGCUCUUCCAUAUCAUUUCCUUCAGCUCUCAAUCUUCCUGAAGGGGGCUAGACAAGGCGACUGAGAAAUGACUACCUGUAAGGUGUUUGUGUUCAUGGUGACCCUUUUAGUUGUGGCCAUGCUGCUCUUCUCAUCUGUGGUGACUGCCGCAAAUCCAGGGGAAGCCAUAUCAUCUGUAAUCUUUUCAGGAAGGAGGAUUCUUAGUGCAGGUGAUAACGGAUCGGGCGGUGGAUCAGUGAAGUCUCCAAUAAUACCAAUUCGUCCGUAAUGGCUCCAAAAGUGCCAGUUUGAUGCUGAUAAUGUGUUUCUUGAAAAGUAAAUGAAUUUAUUAAUUGUUAUAUGUACAUAUCAUUAUUAGCAAUGUUUAAAAUCCUCAAAUAGAUCUACCACUUAUAACAGUCCAAGGCGAUAAAAUCUAUAUAUAGUUAACCAACCCUGGUUAUAUGUUUAACGUUUCCCUUUUAUUUUUAAAAUUUAGCAAUUGAGUAUAAAUAAAUAUAACAGUUAUUGAUGGAGGUUUCUGAAGGUGGGGUUCAACUCUCACUUCUUCCUAUUUAUCUUCUUGUUUUGCUCUAACUAUGUUUCCUUUACUGC